UACGUAGGGUGCAAGCGUUAAUCGGAAUUACUGGGCGUAAAGCGUGCGCAGGCGGCUUUGCAAGACAGAUGUGAAAUCCCCGGGCUUAACCUGGGAACUGCAUUUGUGACUGCAUGGCUAGAGUGCGGCAGAGGGGGAUGGAAUUCCGCGUGUAGCAGUGAAAUGCGUAGAUAUGCGGAGGAACACCGAUGGCGAAGGCAAUCCCCUGGGCCUGCACUGACGCUCAUGCACGAAAGCGUGGGGGAGCAAACAGG
rnacentral:rRNA from 1 species